UACGUAGGGUGCGAGCGUUGUCCGGAAUUAUUGGGCGUAAAGAGCUUGUAGGUGGUUUGUCGCGUCUGCUGUGAAAAUCCGAGGCUCAACCUCGGACUUGCAGUGGGUACGGGCAGACUAGAGUGUGGUAGGGGGAGACUGGAAUUCCUGGGUGUAGCGGUGGAAUGCGCAGAUAUCAGGAGGAACACCGAUGGCGAAGGCAGGUCUCUGGGCCAUUACUGACACUGAGAAGCGAAAGCAUGGGGGAGCGAACAGG
rnacentral:rRNA from 1 species